rnacentral:rRNA from 1 species
GACGAACGCUGGCGGCGUGCUUAACACAUGCAAGUCGAACGGAAAGGCCCUGCUUGCCGGGUGCUCGAGUGGCGAACGGGUGAGUAACACGUGGGUGAUCUGCCCCUUACUUUGGGAUAAGCCUGGGAAACUGGGUCUAAUACUGGAUAGGACCAUGCUGUAGGUGGUGUGGUGGAAAGAUUAGUUUCGGUAAGGGAUGAGCUCGCGGCCUAUCAGCUUGUUGGUGGGGUAAUGGCCUACCAAGGCGUCGACGGGUAGCCGGCCUGAGAGGGUGGACGGCCACAUUGGGACUGAGAUACGGCCCAGACGCCUACGGGAGGCAGCAGUGGGGAAUAUUGCACAAUGGGCGCAAGCCUGAUGCAGCGACGCCGCGUGGGGGAUGACGGCCUUCGGGUUGUAAACUCCUUUCAGCCAUGACGAAGCCCUUGUGGUGACGGUAGUGGUAGAAGAAGCACCGGCUAACUACGUG